rnacentral:piRNA from 1 species
UGUUAAGGAAUGGCAAAGGAGAGGUGUGG